rnacentral:rRNA from 1 species
UACGAAGGGUGCAAACGUUGCUCGGAAUUAUUGGGGCGUAAAGCGCACGUAGGCGGCUUUGCAAGUCGGAUGUGAAAUCCCUCGGCUCAACCAAGGAAGUGCAUCCGAAAACUGCAGAGCUUGAGUACUUAAGAGGAUCGCGGAAUUCCCGGUGUAGAGGUGAAAUUCGUAGAUAUCGGGAGGAACACCAGUGGCGAAGGCGGCGAUCUGGGAAGAUACUGACGCUGAGGUGCGAAAAGCGUGGGGAGCAAACAGG